GUUUGAUCCUGGCUCGAAUGAACGCUGGCGGCAGGCCUAACACAUGCAAGUCGAACGGAGUUAUAUUGUAGCUUGCUAUGGUAUAACUUAGUGGCAGACGGGUGAGUAAUGUAUAGGAAUCUACCUAGUAGUACGGAAUAAUUGUUGGAAACGGCAACUAAUACCGUAUACGCCCUACGGGGGAAAAAUUUAUUGCUAUUAGAUGAGCCUAUAUUAGAUUAGCUAGUUGGUGGAGUAAUAGCCUACCAAGGCAAUGAUCUAUAGCUGAUCUGAGAGGAUGAUCAGCCACACUGGAACUGAGAUACGGUCCAGACUCCUACGGGAGGCAGCAGUGGGGAAUAUUGGACAAUGGGCGAAAGCCUGAUCCAGCCAUGCCGCAUGAGUGAAGAAGGCCUUUGGGUUGUAAAGCUCUUUUAGUGAGGAAGAUAAUGACGGUACUCACAGAAGAAGUCCUGGCUAACUCCGUGCCAGCAGCCGCGGUAAUACGGAGAGGGCUAGCGUUAUUCGGAAUUAUUGGGCGUAAAGGGCGCGUAGGCGGAUUAGUAAGUUAAAAGUGAAAUCCCAAGGCUCAACCUUGGAAUUGCUUUUAAAACUGCUAAUCUAGAGAUUGAAAGAGGAUAGAGGAAUUCCUAGUGUAGAGGUGAAAUUCGUAAAUAUUAGGAGGAACACCAGUGGCGAAGGCGUCUAUCUGGUUCAAAUCUGACGCUGAGGCGCGAAGGCGUGGGGAGCAAACAGGAUUAGAUACCCUGGUAGUCCACGCUGUAAACGAUGAAUGUUAAAUAUGGGAAGUUUUACUUUCUGUAUUACAGCUAACGCGUUAAACAUUCCGCCUGGGGACUACGGUCGCAAGAU
rnacentral:rRNA from 1 species